rnacentral:rRNA from 1 species
AGAGUUUGAUCCUGGCUCAGGACGAACGCUGGCGGCGUGCCUAACACAUGCAAGUCGAACGGAACUUUUUUAAAAGAUUUCUUCGGAAUGAUUUUGAUUAAGUUUAGUGGCGGACGGGUGAGUAACGCGUGAGUAACCUGCCUCUAAGAGGGGAAUAACAUUCUGAAAAGAAUGCUAAUACCGCAUAACAUAUAUUUAUCGCAUGGUAGAUAUAUCAAAGAUUUAUCGCUUAGAGAUGGACUCGCGUCCGAUUAGUUAGUUGGUGAGGUAACGGCUCACCAAGACUGCGAUCGGUAGCCGGACUGAGAGGUUGAACGGCCACAUUGGGACUGAGACACGGCCCAGACUCCUACGGGAGGCAGCAGUGGGGGAUAUUGCGCAAUGGGGGAAACCCUGACGCAGCAACGCCGCGUGAAGGAUGAAGGUCUUCGGAUUGUAAACUUCUUUUAUUAAGGACGAAGAAAGUGACGGUACUUAAUGAAUAAGCUCCGGCUAACUACGUGCCAGCAGCCGCGGUAAUACGUAGGGAGCAAGCGUUGUCCGGAUUUACUGGGUGUAAAGGGUGCGUAGGCGGCUUUGCAAGUCAGAUGUGAAAUCUAUGGGCUCAACCCAUAGCCUGCAUUUGAAACUGCAGAGCUUGAGUGAAGUAGAGGCAGGCGGAAUUCCCCGUGUAGCGGUGAAAUGCGUAGAGAUGGGGAGGAACACCAGUGGCGAAGGCGGCCUGCUGGGCUUUAACUGACGCUGAGGCACGAAAGCGUGGGUAGCAAACAGGAUUAGAUACCCUGGUAGUCCACGCUGUAAACGAUGAUUACUAGGUGUGGGGGGUCUGACCCCUUCCGUGCCGGAGUUAACACAGUAAGUAAUCCACCUGGGGAGUACGGCCGCAA